GGGAAUGUGGCUCAAUGGUAGAGUGCCUGCCUAGCAUGCAUGAAGCCCUGGGUUCGAUUCCUCAGUACCA
rnacentral:tRNA from 1 species